UAAAAGGGGGAACUUUAUCUGAUGGGAUUAAUGUCUUUUUAAGAAGAAAUACCAAAGAGCUUGUUCCCUCUCUCUCUGUAUCCAUGCACAAAGGAAAGGCCAUGUGAGAACACAGAGAGAAGGGGCCAUCUCUGACCCAGGACUAGUACUCCCCAGAACCUGACCUUGCUGCCUUCCUGAUUUUGGACUUCCAGCUUCCAGAACUAUCUACACGGGAGGCACCACAGGGGACUGCGCUUGCUUCUGAACAAUGUUGGGCUCAAAUUGGAAAAAUGUCACUUUGGCGGGAACAAAUUAUUGUUCCGAUCGCUCCUUGUAGAGCUGGUGUCUCCGGAUGGGCUCCAACCUGACCUUUUCCGAACCAGAGUAGUCGACCUCCUGGAAGAUCCCCAGCACUUCCACUGAUGGGUUCUUGUGCAUAAUUAAGGGAUUCAGCCGGAAACAUAUGAACCAGAGGGAAGAUGAAGGAAGAAGCCCAACAGGCCACUGAUACAAAUACACAAGACAGAAGCCGCAAGAACCAGUCUACCUUGCUUCAAAUCCUACCUCUGCCCCUUAAUAGCUCUGUGACUUCAUGAGGCAACUUAUCUGUGUCCUCAGUUUCCAUAUUUCAGAAAAUGGAAGAAAUGUCAGUCCAGAUACCAUCAGGCUGGUGUUAGUAUAAACAAAAAACUCCCCUCACUGUGCCCCCUCAACCUGAAUCACUCUCCCUCUGCUGACCCAACUACCUGCUUACCAAAGCUCAUUUCACCUCCUACUCUGCUCUGCUACUCGGGAACACACUGCUCUCUUCGGGACCAUGCUCUCUACUGCAGGACUGAUUUCACCUGGAUAUUUCCAGUAUACUUUAUACAUGCCUGUCUCUUCCAUGACAUUAUCAGCUCCUCAAAGGCAAGGGUACCAAAAUCAACAACUAGCUUUCUUCCAAAAACGUAAUCCUUAGUGAUAAAAAAUAUAUAAUUAUUAUAAAUAUACAUAUAAUAUAUACUAUAUAAAUAAAAUACAAAAUACAAAA